rnacentral:lncRNA from 1 species
GGCCUAUAGGGAGAAUAUAACUAGACCAGGACCAGAGUUAUAGUUAGGGCCUAUAGGGAGAAUAUAACUAGACCAGGACCAGAGUUAUAGUUUGGACCUAUAGGGAGAAUAUAACUAGACCAGAGUUAUAGUUAGGGUCUAUAGAGAGAAUAUAAAUAGACCAGAGUUAUAGUUAGGGCCUAUAGGGAGAAUAUAACUAGACCAGAGUUAUAGUUAGGGGCUAUAGGGAGAAUAUAACUAGACCAGGACCAGAGUUAUAGUUAGGGUCUAUAGGGAGGAUAUAACUAGACCAGGACCAGAGUUAUAGUUAGGGCCUAUAGGGAGAAUAUAACUACACCAGGACCAGAGUUAUAGUUAGGGCCUAUAGGGAGAAUAUAACUAGACCAGAGUUAUAGUUAGGGCCUAUAGGGAGGAUAUAACUAGACCAGGACCAGAGUUAUAGUUAGGGCCUAUAGGGAGGAUAUAACUAGACCAGAGUUAUAGUUAGGGCCUAUAGGGAGGAUAUAACUAGACCAGGACCAGAGCUAUAGUUAGGGCCUAUAGGGAGAAUAUAACUAGACCAGGACCAGAGCUAUAUUCAGGGCCUAUAGGGAGAAUAUAACUAGACCAGAGUUAUAGUUAGGACCUAUAGGGAGAAUAUAACUGAACCAGA